CUUGGUCAUUUAGAGGAAGUAAAAGUCGUAACAAGGUUUCCGUAGGUGAACCUGCGGAAGGAUCAUUACCGAGUUCAGGCGCGAGCCCACUCCCACCCGUGUGUUUCUACCCUGUUGCUUUGGCGGGCCCCUCUCGGGGCGCGCCAGAGGACCCCAAACUCUCUAACACUGUCGUCCGAGUACUGUAAAUAGUUAAAACUUUCAACAACGGAUCUCUUGGUUCUGGCAUCGAUGAAGAACGCAGCGAAAUGCGAUAAGUAAUGUGAAUUGCAGAAUUCAGUGAAUCAUCGAAUCUUUGAACGCACAUUGCGCCCCUUGGUAUUCCGGGGGGCAUGCCUGUUCGAGCGUUACCUCACCCCUCAAGCGUCGCUUGGUGUUGAGCCCCGGUCAGCGAUGGCCGGCUCCAAAAUCAGCGGCGGCGCCGCGGGGCCCUGAACGUAGUAAACCUCUCGUUACAGGUGCUCGGCGCGCGCCCGCCUCAACCACACUUUCAUGAUUGACCUCGGAUCAGGUAGGGAUACCCGCUGAACUUAAGCAUAUCAAUAAGCGGAGG
rnacentral:rRNA from 1 species